rnacentral:misc_RNA from 1 species
UACGGAGGAUCCAAGCGUUAUCCGGAAUCAUUGGGCUUAAAGGGUCCGUAGGCGGGUGCGUAAGUCAGUGGUGAAAGUCUGCAGCUUAACUGUAGAACUGCCAUUGAUACUGCACACCUUGAGUAAUUAUGAAGUGGUUAGAAUAUGUAGUGUAGCGGUGAAAUGCAUAGAUAUUACAUGUAAUACCGAUUGCGAAGGCAGAUCACUAAUAAUUCACUGACGCUGAUGGACGAGGACGUAGGUAGCGAGCAGG